UACAGAGGGUGCGAGCGUUGUUCGGAAUUAUUGGGCGUAAAGGGCGCGUAGGCGGCGCGGUAAGUCACCUGUGAAAUCUCCCGGCUCAACUGGGAGCUUGCAGGCGAAACUGCCGUGCUCGAGUAUGGGAGAGGUGCGUGGAAUUCUCGGUGUAGCAGUGAAAUGCGUAGAUAUCGAGAGGAACACCAGUGGCGAAGGCGAGUCCCUGGACAACACCUGACACUGAGGCACGAAAGCUAGGGGAGCAAACAGG
rnacentral:rRNA from 1 species